UCCGUAGGGGACAAGCGUUGUCCGGAUUUACUGGGCGUAAAGAGCGCGCCGGCGGUCGAUCAAGUCGAGUGUGAAAGCCCCCGGCUCAACUGGGGAGGGUCAUUCGAUACUGAUCGACUCGAAGGCAGGAGAGGGUAGUGGAAUUCCCGGUGUAGUGGUGAAAUGCGUAGAUAUCGGGAGGAACACCAGUGGCGAAGGCGACUACCUGGCCUGUUCUUGACGCUGAGGCGCGAAAGCUAGGGGAGCAAACGGG
rnacentral:rRNA from 1 species